GAGUUUGAUCCUGGCUCAGGAUGAACGCUGGCGGCGUGCUUAACACAUGCAAGUCGAACGGGAAACCUUUUAUUGAAACUUCGGCAGAUUUAGCUGGUUUCUAGUGGCGGACGGGUGAGUAACGCGUGGGUAACCUGCCUUAUACAGGGGGAUAACAGUCAGAAAUGGCUGCUAAUACCGCAUAAGCGCACAGAGCUGCAUGGCUCAGUGUGAAAAACUCCGGUGGUAUAAGAUGGACCCGCGUUGGAUUAGCUGGUUGGUGGGGUAACGGCCCACCAAGGCGACGAUCCAUAGCCGGCCUGAGAGGGUGAACGGCCACAUUGGGACUGAGACACGGUCCAGACUCCUACGGGGGGCAGCAGUGGGGAAUAUUGGGCAAUGGGCGCAAGCCUGACCCAGCAACGCCGCGUGAGGGAAGAAGGUUUUCGGAUUGUAAACCUCUGUCGCAGGGGACGAAGGAAGUGACGGUACCCUGUAAGAAAGCACCGGCUAACUACGUGCCAGCCGCCGCGGUAAUAC
rnacentral:rRNA from 1 species